UUUUCUAGAUCUGGGCCGGCUGGCCCCUCUCCCUCUCUUCUCCGGCGAUAGCCGGCGUUGAGGCGGGUGGGGGACCCCUCCCUGUGCAGCAGUAGUCUAGGAGUAGGAGUCUAGGUCUUGGGCUGGUCCCUUUUUGCCUCUAUGGUGUUUGGCGACAUGCCGAUGGGGGCAUGGCUACUGAUGCACGCGAGCUGCAUCCGGUGGUGGAUGGAAGCAGGUCUCCUUCUCAUGGUGCUCUGGAGGUCAGAGCCGCAUGUGAGAGGGGAAAAGCUUCUUGUCAUCCCCGCAAAUAAGCUCGAGGUCUGGCCUCCAAAUCAGGAGGUCGUUGCCAGUGAAGAUGAAGCAAGAUUUGUUGUCCUUCUUCUAAGCUGCAGCCAUCAAGGAGGUGGAGGCGUGGAUUGGAAGGGCGAGGGUCUGCUUCGUUCUUCACGGUGGGGUUGUGUUGCUGCAAUUUCCGGAGCUCCUCAAUGGUGGCGACUGAGCGCCGCUGUUAUCCUUGGCCGAUGUGGCCACUCCGCGCUGCGGUACUGCGUUUACCGUAGCUUCUUCAACCUCCAAGCCGGUGUGCCAAGAUGGAGGCCCUUCAGAGCUUCUCGUCGGAAUUCAACACCUUCUCGCCGCCAAGUGGUGCGUCCCCGGCAGUGUCAAGGUGGCCGGCGAUGGAGGCUCAAUUGUGGUGGAGAGGACGAAGCACCUGAUUGCUUUUCCUAUCUUUUAUUCAGGGUCCUUUGUGCAAGUAUUCAGGACUGUGUUGUAAUGUUGUUUUUCUAUCAGAGUCCUGUAUGUAAUAUGUACCCACCGACAAUGUUAUGAAUGCAGCAUUUGGGGUCCUUUGAGACCCCUCCCCUG